rnacentral:rRNA from 1 species
GUGCCAGCAGCCGCGGUAAUACGAAGGGGGCUAGCGUUGCUCGGAAUUACUGGGCGUAAAGGGAGCGUAGGCGGACAUUUAAGUCAGGGGUGAAAUCCCGGGGCUCAACCUCGGAAUUGCCUUUGAUACUGGGUGUCUUGAGUAUGAGAGAGGUGUGUGGAACUCCGAGUGUAGAGGUGAAAUUCGUAGAUAUUCGGAAGAUCACCAGUGGCGAAGGCGACACACUGGCUCAUUACUGACGCUGAGGCUCGAAAGCGUGGGGAGCAAACAGGAUUAG